CCUGGCCUAUACGUGCUAAGCCCGACCCGGGCCUUGAUCACCCCUAAGGCCCUAUUUGCUUAGAGCCAGUCAACCAGAUGUAGUCGUGGAGGAGCAGAAAAGUAGAUUUCAUAUUUCCUAGUUUCCCCGAUUAUUGAGGUACACGACAGGAGGACGACGACAAUGGUUGUAUGCAUCCGAUUAUCCCUUCUUUAAAUGCUUUUUCUUCGCUCUGCCCCCGCUGCACUGGAUUCUCGUAUUAGGUCAGAAUCAGAUCCAUCUGAUUUGUCACCUCUUCAUUUCUCCUGAACUCGUUCUUUUGACAAGUUACAGUAAUCCAGGAUGUAUAUGGCAUACGGAUGGCCUCAACUCAAGUCAUCCCGCUUCAACUAGGGCUCUGCCCAGUUCCCGAGCAGACCUUCUAUCUUAAAUUCAUCAAUCGUUUAUUGCUCGUCAUCGCUCCCUCUCACAUAGAACUCUGGAACUCUUCCCAGUUUUUUAUUUUAUUUUAUUUUAUUCAAACCUUUGGAUUUGUUGUAGCAUUUUUUAUUUUUUUAUUAUAGUUUUCUAAAAUUGCUGAGAUUGCGGCUCAGCAUAAGGUGAAGGGAAGUACUACAGAGAUUCAGAUUCAGUGCUAAGGGAGGGGGAGAAUUCGCAGGCUGUCAGGACUCCUAGCACCAAAAUAAUUGCCGUUCUUCUACAAAUGAGCAGUACUUUGUAGAGCUGGUUAGCUGCUGAAUUCCUUUUGGCUCAUAUGUGUUCAGUGAAGUUUAAAGAGUGGAUAGUCAUCUUGGGGAAUCCUGGACCUUCAGGUAUUGGAGGUAUAUUUAGAGAUGAGGAGGGUAAAUUCAUUGCUAUGUUCUCAGGGCCAGUUGGAGGAGACUCCCUGAGAGCAGAAGUGUUGGAAGUAAUGGAAGGCAUGCAAAGGGCAAAGCUGAUGAACAUUCAAAAGCUAAUUGUGGAAGGAGACUCUAAACUGGUGAUUAGCUGGUUACAAGAUGGGGGGUUGAAACUGUGGCUUUUCAAUAAUGAAAGGAAGAAGAUCAGGUGGUUAACCAGAGUUAUGGAAAUAAUUGUUGGGUGGGUUAAGAGAUCUGCUAAUUCUGUAGCAGAUGCCUUAGCCAAACAAGGAGCGGAGAGAGACUCAUUGUUCUGGGCACAACUGUAAGGGAUCUGGUUGUUUUGAGAUGAGAGGUUUUAUCUCUCAGUCUGUCUGUAUAUAAUGUAUUGGCAACACUUUUAAGACGUUCAGAGGUAUUCCUGGACUUUGAACCUGGUACAGAAAAUGUCGUUUCCUUGUUGAUCUUAGGUUAAUCAACAAUUGCUGAUCUCAUUUCACUCAA